CACCUCUCAGGGUCGCACCUGGAGAGUUUCCAGUACUCCACCAAUCUGGACUACGGGAGGGAGAGUCAAGCAGAGACAUAUCCAUCCAUUCCUAGCUUGGGCAGUGGCUAGCGAGUGGAAGGCAAUCUGCUACAAUU
rfam:Ornithorhynchus anatinus chromosome 3, whole genome shotgun sequence.